AUUGAACGCUGGCGGUAUGCUUAACACAUGCAAGUCGGACGGUAGCAGGCCUUCGGGUGCCGACGAGUGGCGGACGGGUGAGUAACGCGUAGGAAUCUGCCUCAUAGUGGGGGACAACGGGGGGAAACUCACGCUAAUACCGCAUACGCCCUACGGGGGAAAGCGGGGGCUCUUCGGACUUCGCGCUAGGUGAUGAGCCUGCGUUAGAUUAGCUAGUUGGUAGGGUAAAGGCCUACCAAGGCGACGAUCUAUAGCUGGUCUGAGAGGACGAUCAGCCACACUGGGACUGAGACACGGCCCAGACUCCUACGGGAGGCAGCAGUGGGGAAUAUUGGACAAUGGGCGCAAGCCUGAUCCAGCAAUACCGCGUGUGUGAAGAAGGCCUUAGGGUUGUAAAGCACUUUCAAUUGGGAGGAAAACCUGCCGGUCAAUACCCGGCAGCUUGACAUUACCUUUAGAAGAAGCACCGGCUAACUCCGUGCCAGCCGCCGCGGUAACAC
rnacentral:rRNA from 1 species